GGUCUUGUGGUCUAGUGGUAUGAUUCUCGCUUAGGGAGCACUCUAAGUACACUGUACAUAGUACAAACAAUGCGAGAGGCCCCGGGUUCAAGUCCCGGCAAGACCC